CCGGGCCUCCCUCGUCUGCAAGCGUUGACGCAGCAUCGUCUCCGACCGCCAGUUCCAGCGCCGCUUCCGCGCCCACCACGGCAGGCCCCUUCUCCUUGGCUUCUUCCUCAGGAAUCCUUUCUCCUGCCCGUUUGUUCCGAUGCUGGAUCGACCGGAUCGCAUCCCCGGCGCUCGCUUCUCCAUGCCUGUACACGAGAGCAAUCGCGUCAUCGACUGCCGCCACGGGCUUGUCCUCUUCCUCAGCCCAUGGCCGCCGCGCCGCCUACUUGUGUGGGACCCCGUCGCCCGCGAGCAGCGCCGCCUCAUCUCCCCACCUGAGGUGGACAGCAAGCAGAUGUUCAUCUUCAACGGGGCUGUGCUUCGCCCUGCCCGCGGCCAAGGCUGCAGUUCAAGCCAUUUCCAGGUGGCCCUGGUAGCCCGUGACAGAGCAUGUACGAGAGUCUCCGUAUCCCUUUACUCAUCGGAGACUGGGAUAUGGAGCAACAUCAAAUCACUGCAGCUGAAAUUUUUACCUCUGGAACGAGCCAGUACUAUGAUUGGGAAUUCCCUUUGCUGGUUACUUCCAGUGCAUCGUCAAAAUGUCAUACUUGAGUUUGAGCUGGAUAAGCACACCCUAGCUAUGACAGAGCUGCCAGCACCUGUAGAACCCUAUAAAAAGUUAUGGAUUAUGCCGGCCGAAGAUGGUGGGCUUGGCUUCAUCCAUCUCUCACAAUUUCACGCCAAAUUAUGGAAGAGAAAGCCUGAUUCUAAUGGUUUGGAUGUUUGGGUGCUCAAUAGAGCUAUUGAGUUUGAGGAGCUCAGACCAACUUGCAUUGGAUACUCUCUCCUUUACUGGGGUUUGCCGAGGAGAGUAAUGCAGUCCUUGUACAGACAGAUUCUGGUGUCUUCAUGGUUUAUCUCCAGUCAACGGGGUUUAAGAAACUUUCCAAUCUGAGUGUCUUCUGUCUCCAUUAUCCAUUUGAAUAUUUCUAUCCUGCAGGUAAUAGCAAGCCUUUAUAGACAACGGCGAUAGAGCACACGGGCUCGCGCGCUCCUGUUAUCUGAACGGGCAGUACAGGUCGUGGGGUGUGUGCGACUGACAAUACCGGCAGCCUGAAGGGAAUUUCGAACCCAGUAUGAGCUGUAGAGACAACUGACGGCGGCUGGGCGGGGCAUGGGUUAACGGAGGUGUGCUAGUGGUACAAGGUUGUGCGGUCGCCCCGGGACCGUCUACUUUCACGGCGAGUAAUCGCUCGCAGCUGUGGGGAAAAGUUUUGAAGCGGGGCCAUGAGUUCGAGGCGGAGAGCAGAGCGCGUAAUUAAACUUGAAUACCUUUCCGCGGCGGCGGUAGAGCACUGCUAUUAAGCGAUUUUGGAGAAGACAGAUGAAUUCGAGUUCCUUUCAGAUCUAGUCCAUAGAUUUGCACCGCUGACUUUGAGUGUGGGGGACGAACUUCUUGACAAGGAGGCUUCCGGUGGAUCUGUCGGAUUAAGCCGGUGGUUGCACCGAUGACAGGGAUGUGAGCGCCGCGGUAGCCGUGAGGCCUAUGGACCUGAACGACAAUGGUACUUGCGAGACUGCCUUUGCGGCGGACUCGGGUCAGUUGGUGCUGAGAGAUGAUCCACAAACGCCUGGCUGGACAAAAGACGUUCAACGAUUUAGCUGCUACUCAGUCGUCUAAUUAUUGUGUGUUGGCCUUUUAGUGCUGUGGCAAGUCUGUCCAUAGUGUGGUUGCUGAAUUUGUAAUUGGAUGUUGCAGGAUACCGGUUGGCAGAGCACCCCUGGAGCGGCCGCGGUGCGACGACAGGGUGUGCGGAAGAACUUCAGGGAAUUUGCUGAAGAAAGAACAGAUAUAGUACUUGUUCUGAUAGUUGGUAGUUCGUUCGACUCACUAGGAGAAGCAUAUGGUUAUUACAACCUGUACUUGUAGGAAAUUCGCUUUUGUGUGAGGUAUGUGAAGAGCCGGCUGAACGUCGAUCGAACCAAGUGUAUGCAGGAAAUUGUCUGUGGCUGCUUGGUGAGGCAAACUCAGAAUUAGAUUAUAGGGAAGCAUGACAAAUGGUGCAAAGUUGUCUAUGGAGUGGAGGUAUUUGAAAAUGGAGCAGAGAUUACAUGUGAGUGGUAAUUUCGAGCAUGCUUGUGUGCUCUACUGCCACUGCCAUGCUGGUAAUGACCUCGAUUUCCUGGGCUUCACCAAGAUAACAAAGAAGCACAUUCUGAAAAGAUGAAGCAAGGAUGCAAUAGAUGUGCUGCCAGAUCAUUUGGCAAACCUGCAGAAGGACCAGAUUUUGCUUAACUCUAUCAAAUUUCGCCAUUCGAAUUUGUACACACACGUUAUGGAGGUUGUAAUACUUGGGGACCCAAACACAACAUCAUACAAGGCAGCAAUAGAGCUCAUUAAGGCAGCAAUGCGGAAGCUGACGCUUCUGCAGUAUAUGCCGGCAAACAGGACAUAGAAGUACAGCUUGUCCUCGGGGUGACCUCCUUCUGAAACCAAGGAAGGAAUCCAAAUGCUCAAACAUGUGCAGCAACCUGCAAAGUUGUAUCUCUGCCUGGGCGAGGCUUUCCACCUCCGGUUUGGAUGUUUUCUGUGGAUCAACUUGAAAAUUUUCCUGUUGGGCGAGGGCUCAGUAACCGUGUAUGCAAUAGCCGAAUAUUGUUGUCUAGUGUAGCAACCGUGUAUUUGUAUGUAACAGUACCGUGCUGCUGUAUUUGGUUGUGCUGUAUCUAUGGAACCCGAUUAAGGGGAAGUUUUUUCCGUGAGUCUGCACAUUUAAAUUGUUUUAGAGAAGCA